CGCAUCACAAGGUGUACACCAAAAAUAGGUGCUCUUGUUAGAGGAAGGAGAGGCCAGUCCUCCUAUAUUUCAAAAACUCAGAAGAGCACUUGAAGUGAGAACAAAAAUAAGUGCAAAGUGUGUAGGCUCUGGAGCCAGGUGACCUGGGUUUAAAUCUUGGCUCUACCCUGUAAGACCUGUGUGAUCUUGGGAAGUUACUUAACCUCCCUGAGCUUCAGUUCCUUACUGUUAACAAUAUCCAUCUGUCAGGUCAUUGGGAAGAGAACGGAAUGAGUUAAUGGAUGUCCAAAUACCCAGAUCAUGCUGGGCACAUAACAGUUGCUGAAAACACGUCAAUUCCUCCUACUUUGGCACUGUCCUUGUUUAAAAGACAUUUUUAGGAAGGCUGAGGUCGUGCCACUUUAUUGAGCACCUACCAUGUGCCAGGCACUGUGUUAGGAAGCAUUAAGAAAUGGAAUAGCAUCUUCCCUUCUUCCUUCACCAAUGCAAGUUCUUAAAGUGAACAUAUGACAAGGGCUCUGGUUUAAUAUUGAUUAACCAAAGAUGCCAGGUUAAUAGCCACAGAGGACCCAUAGGAGAAAUGACAGUGGCAGAUGGUAGCCAUUCACCUUCUACUUACUUCCUAGCUCAAGCCACUCACUGGCCCCAUCCCCAUUGUUGGCUCUAUGAACCACAGCAAUUGUGUCCAGCAGCAAAAGCCAUCCAAGGUGGAGUUGAGACAUCCCUGAGGCCCUGAGUGCAGCCCAGCCCUGUUGGGUCUAGAAACUGGGAAUUUAAACUCAGGCAGGAGAGAGCAUGCGAAGGAGAAAGCUCUUCCAAAAGCAUCUGCAUGAGUGGAUGUCUCCACACCUCAAGAGGCAAGCACAGAGAUUCCAGAGACUUGCCCAAGGUCACACAGCAGUAAGUGCCAAAGUGAAGGUUGGAAUUUGGGUCUGCCUCCAUAGCCUGUAAUUUUGUCACUGUGCCGGCUGGAUUUAAAAGAGCAUUUCCCCAUAUUAGAUGUCAAGGCUGGUGAUGGUGAGGCAAAUUACACAGGUUGGGAGGCAAAGGGGAGUUAGUUGCUAAUCCAACUCCAGUACUCAAAAGUGUGUCCCAGACCAUCCUCUUCAACAGCACCUGGGAACUUGUUGAAAAUGCAGAAACCCAGGCCUCACCCCAGGCCUAUAGAAUGAGAAUCUGUAUCCUAACACCCCCCACCCCAGGGAAUUGGCAUGCACUUUAACAUUUGAGAAGCUAAAUUUGAGAACCUUAGAACUGGUUCUCAAAUUUAGCUACACAUUGGUAUCACUUAGAAAGUUUUAACUACUGAUAUGUAGUCCCACUCCCCAGCUGUUCUGACAGGUCCAGGGUGCAGCUUGGAUACUGGGAUUUUUAAAUACUCCCUCGGGUGAUUCUAAAGUGUGGCCACAUUUGAGAACUAUUGUCCUACAGCGGGGUCAGCAAACUGGUCUGUUGGCCAAAGCAGCCUGUUUUUGUAUGACCCACAAGCUAAGAAUGGGUUUUACAUUUUUAAACAGUUGAGAAAAAAUCAAUUAAAGACUAUAGGAUGAUAUGUGAAAAUUAUAUGAAAUUUAAAUUUCAGUCCCCAUAAAAUAAAGUUUGACUGGAAGACAGUGAUGUUCAUUCACUUCCAUGUCUAUGGUCUAUGGCUGCUUUGGUGCUACAAAGGCACAGUUGAGUAAUUACAACUGAAUAGUUUAAAGUACUUAAUAGUUACUAUCUGGCUCUUUACAGAAAAAGUUUGUCAAUCCCUGUUCUAGAGAAUUUAUGAAUAGCUAGGAUAAUAACCAUGACUGACUAAUUGAUCUGACUUUAUUUGUGGGCUGCAUUCCUUUUAUAUAUAUAACUUCUAUAUGUAUGCGUGUGUGUGUGUGUGUGUGUGUGUGUGUGUAUAUAUAUAUAAUACAUAUAUAUGUAUGUAUAUUUCUCUCUCUCCUCUUCAUUUGUGUUUAUACUUCCCCCUAAAAAAUAGGUAGAGGCAUAAAGCCAGAUCUUGUUCCAUUCCAUUAAGCAGGUAGCUUCAAAGGCCCUUGCACAGAUCUCUGCCUCUCUCUGCACCUGUAAUACCUAAUUCUCUCCAAGUUCCUGUCGCUUCUCAUCAAACCUUCAACAGUUUCCAAGAGCACUUCUCCCAUAAGCUGCAGGCCAGGGCUGUGUGCUUGCAGGCAGCUUCCUUCCUCCUCAGAGCUCACUGGAGGCGGCAAGGAGUCCUUGAAUCGUCUAAGGAUCCUUCAGGCGGAUUAGGCAUGACCCUUUGGUGAUAGGACUCCAGUAUCUCCUGGCCCCUUUGUGCAGAGGCUUGGAGCCCCACGAGCACAGCAGCCUGGUUUCUUUGUAUGCAGACCAGGGCUGGUCCCCUAUCAGAGGGAGGCUGACAGCAGAACACCCUGAAGGCUAGGCCUCUUAAUCUCAUUAAUAUCCUGAUUGUCUUCCCCAACCCAGUGGCAGCUGAUGGGGUGGUACCCACAAGAUAAAAUGACCUUCAAAUUCAAGAGAUAAAAUGGCACUCAGAUAAAGUCCCUAAGAAGGAGAAUGCUGGAGCCACCCAUGUCCGCCACUAAACCUCAAGUCAGUAUGAAUGUGUUUCCUAGAAUAGCAGACAUUUCAAGGCAGGAUUUGUCUCUCUUCUGAACUGAAAUAAUCUGCUACUUAAGGACAAUGGGCCUUAUUUACCGUGAGGAACUUUGCUGCUGAGAUGAAUAUUUUUACAACUACCCUCAUAAACCCCUCCCGCUGUCUGCUGCCCAGGGAGGGGGCGGAGCUCCCAGAGGUGAGCUGAGGUGCUUGCACUGUCUCAGAAGCCCCAUUAAGUUGUUAAGGCAUUUAGUAGUCCAGACAGUGCCGACUGCAAGGGCAGUUCAAAUCCCCACACAAAUGGGGAUGGGGUCAUGAAAGAGGGGGCUUUGAUUUCUUGCCUGGGCAGGGCACAGAAUCCACCUUGGUCAGGGGCAGUGGUUGGGGAGGAAGUAGUAAACUACCCAGAAUGGGAGACUCUCACCCUUACCCCACCUCUUUGGCCAUGAUCUCCCAAAGCCUCAGUGUCAUUUAGAGGGGAACAGUAGGAAUGUGGGAAAAGGAACUGCUGGGGGCUGUGUGUGUGUGUGUGUGUGUCUUUCUCUCUCUCUCUCUCUGUGUUGGGUUUAGUGCCUGAAAAGUUCUUAGCAUCUGCAUAAAGCAAAAAGAGAUGGACAGUGUGCAACAGCUCAAAACCUCUCCCCACCACUUACUAAGAAUAUGAACUUGGGCACAUGCCUUCCAUUCUAAAUAGUUCACUUCUCCUGAUUGUAAAAUGAAGAUGACACUAGAGAUGGCUCCUACUCUGCAGGGCUGUUGUGUGGGUCACAUAAGAUGAUGCAUGGAGGAACUCGGCCCAGGGCCUGGGACCAAGGAAGUGCUCCAUCAACACUGGCCAUUAGAAUUCCUCUCGUUGAGUCACUACCUUGCCACUGGACACUUUGGAGAUUUCCUCGUGUCCUGCAGAAUUCAGUGCCAGGGAAAACAACAGCAUUCACAUAGGUACCCUGGCCCAGAGUUUGGCUGGUCUGAGACCCAGGGUUAGAUUCCCUCAGGUAACCUGGGAGGGGCUGUGAAGGGGGAUGAGCGAGAGGCAGGAGGCAGGAUUCUCUGUUUUUCAAGCUCUAAGCCACAUCAAGGAAGUCAAGUCCACUGGGCUUGGAGAGGGAGGAAUAGAGUUCAGCGAAAGGGAGGAGCAGCAGCCACAGAAAUAAAUGUCUCCUCUUUGGUGAAGGGGCUAUGGUUCGGGACCCCUGAAAGUCCUCCUGGCAGGGCCUCUUCUCUUUUUCUUUGUGCCUCACUUUCUUUCCAGGAGAAUAAGUCCCCCCUUCCCUCUCAAAGGUGACACAAGAGUGAGGACAUCAUGCGUGGGAGAGCGGAGGCUGAUGAAGACCUUUUACCCCUCCUCUCCUCCUCAAGGUAGUGGCCAGGUGAGCUUGCUGCCGACUAGAGCAAAGGGUACAGGGAGCAAGGUCGCCACAGAUCACACAGCAGAUACCACAGCUUGGGCCAAGGCUAGCCAAGUUUCCAUCCCGCGCCAACUUCCUCCUCCUCCUCCUCGAGCCAAUCAAUACAAGCACCAGGCUCCAACCAGUCCUUCUCCUUGCUGCCGCCCUGCCCUCUGACCUUUUAGGGGCCUUUCUCUUGAUUCAUCUCCAGAAGGGAGGUAGAGGCCAUCACUCCAGACCUGCUCAAUGGCUUCAGAAUGGGCUGUCAUGGAGCCUAUAACCAGGGACAGCUCCUGCUGGCCAAGAGCUGGAAUAGGGGGUGGGGGCGGAUAAAGGCCUUCCAGGCUGAAGAUAAAUGGCUGCCUGCAGCCUGCUACAGUAACUUCAGGCCCCCAAGAAGAGCAAACAAAGGGUGCCCCUGUGACACUCCCUGGAAAGAUGAAGGCCCAGCAGCGGCAGCCAGGCUGGUUCAAAGCCCCAACUUAAUUGUCAAUUAAGCAUGCAUAAGGGAGACAAAGCCAUGACAACCCUUGGCUGCAUGCUGGUGUGUGAUUGUAAAGCCAAGGAGGGGCAACGCUGGAAACAGCUGACUCUGCUGACAGUGUGUUUGUAGGGCAUCUUGUAACCAAUCAGCCGCUGACAGAGGCAGAGUGCUCCUCCUGCCACCCCUAUUGUGCCGGACAUUCCAGGACUAGGGUCACACCGUGGUCAUCGUGGGCAAGUGGGCCACAGCAUGGUAAGCAUGGCUGGGAGGGAAGGUGCUGUUAGAGAAAGGCUGCUC